AGUUAGAAUAUAUUUCACUGCAAAGACGAACAGUUAUUCCUUUACAAAGUAGUUUUUAUUCAGUGUGUUAUAAAACAUUGAACUUUAUAAAUUAUUUUUUGAUUUAUUUAGUUUAAAUAGACGAUUUUGACUAGUUUUGUUUUAUAGGAAUAAGUUAUAAUAUUACAUUUGUAAUACAAUUUAAAAGUUUUUUAAAAUCUUUUCAUAAUUCUUUUCAUAAUCUUUUUAUAAUUAAAUUAAUAAAAAUAUCAAAAAUAUUUUUAUCGAAUUUUUAUAUUAUUAAAAAUUCUUCUAAAUAUCUUAAAUUAAAUAAAGAAAAUUUAUUUAUUAGAAUUUCUUGGAAUUAGAAUAAUUAAAAAAGAUCUAUUAUUUGUUAUAAAUUAUAUUAUUAGAUGAUACAUAUAUAUAAACAUAAUGAUAAUAUAUUUAUAUGUAUUAAAUGAUUUUAUUAAAAAUUAUUUAUUAAAAAUGUUGUUCAAUUUUAUAUAAUUAAAUUAUUAUUUAAUUGUUAUUUAAUUAGUAAUUAAAUAAAUUAUUUGUUUAAGUUUUAGUACAAAUUUUUAAAAAAUUUUUAGUACAAAGUUUUUAACAUAUAUAAUAGAUUACUUUAUCAUAAUUAUAUGUAUAAUUAAUUUAAUGUAUGCAUAUCUUUGUACAAAACAAAAUUAUUAAAAGCAAUGGAAUCUCAAACUUGUGUGAUUUGUGGAGGACAUUCAGUUCAUAAAUGCAGUGCCUGUGAAAAUGUUUAUUACUGCAGCAAGAAACAUCAAAAAGAAGAUUGGAAGAAACAUUCAAAAAUUUGUAAAUCCUUUAAGUUAGCAGAAAAUCCUUCAUUGGGUCGUCAUUAUGUAGCUACGAGAAAUAUCAAAGUUGGAGAAAUUAUUCUACGGGAUGAUCAACCCUUGAUAACAGGUCUUAUGUACAACAGUGUCCCUGUGUGUCUUCAAUGUUAUACGGUGUUAAAUCAAGAGAUUGCAGUACCUUGCGAAAAAUGUGGCUGGCCUCUUUGUCAAAACUGUAAUGAACAUGGAUUGGAAUGUAAAUUUUCUUGUUCUCGCAGAGAUUCUAAGAUUUCAAUAACCGAAUUUGGCUAUCCACAUCCGAGUUAUCAAUGUAUAAAUAUUAUAAGAGCUUUGUCAUUGAAGGAUACUAAUCCAGAAUCUUAUAAAAAGUUAAUAUCUCUCGAAAGUCAUUGCAAUGAAAUAAAUAAUUCUAAAGAGCCAUUGAACAUUGCUCAUUUUAUCAAGAGAUUCUUCAAGGCAGAUGAUAUAUCGGAAGAAGAAAUUGUAAUAAUCAUUGGUAUCUUGCAGGUUAAUGGUCAUGAAGUUCCAUUAACCGAUUCACCAUAUGUAGCGGUUUAUGAAAUGGCAUCAUUGCUUGAGCAUAAUUGUAGAGCCAAUUGCUCAAAAAGUUUCACUGAUAUGGGAGGAUUGAUUAUUCGUGCUGCACUACCCAUUACGAAGGGAGAUCACAUUUCUAUAUGUUAUACUGAUCCAUUGUGGGGUACUGCAAACAGAAGACAUCACCUUCUUAAAACAAAAUUUUUUGAAUGUAUUUGUAAUCGAUGUCAAGAUCCUACAGAAUUUCAAACUAUGUUUAAUGCUUUAAAAUGCAAUAAUAUAAAUUGUUCAGGAUACGUAUUGCCAAAAACUUUCCUUGAACAGGAACAAGAUUACAUAUGCAAAAUUUGUGAAUCAGUCGUUUCUUGUACAGAGAUUGAAAAAAUAUUGGAAGACAUUGGUGUACACUUAUCAAAUAUGAAGAAAAACGAUAUUGUUGCAUGUAAAGAAUUUCUAGACCGAUAUAAAAAUAAUCUUCAUCCAAAUCAUUAUUAUAACAUCGACGUAACGAUCGCCUUGGCUCAAUUGAUUGGACAACAAACUGGAGGAUUGGCGGUAAUCGAGGAAGAUCUUCUGAUUGAGAAAAUAAAAUUAUGCAAAAAAUUGGAUACUUUGCUUAAAUUACUCGUUCCAGGUCACUACUACAUUGUGACGAAGUAACAAGAAAACUAUUUGUGUACUCUCUCGAAUGCGAUUCCAUUUUUACAAGGAAAAUGAUAUCGGUGACUGAUACACGCCGAUUUUGAUGAAAUGUUGUAUAAAUUGUUUGGACCAGCCUAUAGAUUUUUCCCAUAUUUGGUUCGUGUUACUUUUUUACUUUGAUACCUUCUCAAAUGAUGGGUCUGACUCGUCAUUGUAACUUAAUGGGAAAGUUGAGCUACACUCAUAAAGUUUGAACUACUAAUUAUGUAAUAAAAUAAAUUGUUUUUUUUUUGUGUUGAUUGGAUUAAUGAAUUUAUUGAAUUAAGAAUUAAGAAUUAAUCACUAAGGCACGAAUUCUCAAACUUUAGGUCACAAAUUGAUCUUUGAAUUUUGGAUUAUUAUAAUUAUUUUUAUUUAUAAUUCAUAUACGAAAUUUAAUGCUUUUAUUUCAAUAUAACCAUUUAUAUAGAAUACAACAAAUAGAAAUGAAUUAUGAUUUAUGAAAAAAUAUUAAAGAUUCAUUAUAUGAUCAUAUUGAAUAAUUAUGUUUGCUAUGUCAAAUAUUUAUUUUUUAUUUCAUCUUUAAAAACAAAAUAUCGUAUUUAAGUAUUUAUUUUACUUCAUCUUGUCAAAAAUAUAUUAAAACGUACGAUUCUCAUUAAAAAUUAAUAAUUGAAAUGCAUGCGAUUAUUUGUGUGUGAAUUUUGCAAAUUUUAUCAUUUCUUCAUUUUAUUAUAUCUCAGAAAUGAAGAUAACUAAUCAACCCAUGCUAUACAUAACAUUAUUUUAAAAUAAUUAUAUCGGCAAAGUUUGUCAGUUUUUAUUUGGAUCACCUUGUAUAUAAAUAUACUUGACCUAAUAUACUAUGUUAGGUGAAGAAUUCUCGAAAACCCUAUUCGUUCUAAACCGAUCUCUACGACGACUGAACGAAGUUGGACGUGCUCGUAAUCAAUCGUCUUACCGAUCUCACACAUGCUUGGCUAUCGGUAAAUAGAGCUGAAAACCGAAUUCGAGGUUUAAUUCUUUUUGAACUACAUGCAGCUCUUGCAGAAUUAAGUAGAAGAUAUAAAAACGAGGAAACUAUGAUAUCAUUACUGCAGGAAUCAAAAAAAUAUUUAAUUGAUGGCUAUCAAUUGUUAAAAUAUGAACCAAAAA